rnacentral:misc_RNA from 1 species
CCGUGGGGAUUCGUCCCCAUCGAGAUAGCACCCUUUGUUUAUGAGUACCAUUUGUUUCCUCGGCGGGUCUGCCUAGACCCGCCGCUAGGACCCCCCAAAAAACCUUUGCAGUUGCAGUACCUUCAGUAACCAAAAAAUAUCA